GCGGUCGUGGCGGAAUUGGUAGACGCGCAACGUUGAGGUCGUUGUGAGAAAUUUUUCUCGUGGAAGUUCAAGUCUUCUCGACCGCACCA
rnacentral:tRNA from 1 species